CAGCAGUUAAUAUAAAGAUCAGGAAACAUAGCGAAGGGACAACAACUGCUGCAGCAAUAUGGAUUUUAAAUGGACCUUCAGCUUCAGCGUUCUCUGUAAAAUCAAAAAAGUGAGUCAUUUCACUGCAAUUCUAAUAGGUGGUUCACAUGUGGUCCACAUGUGGUCAUUUCCAUGCAAAAGCAGUUUCUUCUUUUUUAUUAUUAUUAUUACGUCUAUGUUUUCAGAAAGGAAGUCAGAACUGCUUACACCUGCUAAGUGGUCUCUGGAAAGACCUUGGGCCUCUCACAAAAUCCAAGUCCAAGUCUGAAAAGUCUGGAGCUUUGCUAUGUUUCCACUUCUUUGUGGUUUUAGUGAGAAAAGCAAUAAUGCUGACACACAAUCUAACCUUAAAGUCUCUACUGUUGUACGAUGCACAAUUAUGAAGGAAAUAUCAGUGCAGCCAAAGGUGCUCAGCCUGACUGUGUAUGGGUGAGUUUUCAACUUUCACUUGGAUCAGCGUUAAAGCAGUGCUCUCACCAGCCUCCUGUAAAAGCUCUGCUCUGUAAAGACUGCAGGUAAUCUGGUGUAAUCUUUAGAAAAAAAGGGGCAGUCACUCUUGUAUUUGAAAAAGAAGAUAAAAAAUAGGAUAAGCUCAAAAAGGCAAUUAUUGCCAACCUCUUCUUCUUACCAUGUCCCACCAUCACCACCCUCUGCCCCCGCCCCUACACUGUAUUCAGUCAUGAUGGGUGUGUAAGGUAUUGUUUUUGUCUGUUUGUUUUUGUUUGCUUCAAAACUUGAUAAACUCACCUGUAAUUAUGAGCUCCCAUUUCUGUUCGAAGACUCCUGAGUCUGUGGUCGUUUCACAAGUGUAGUUUCCUUCGUGAUGUUUCUGAGCUCUCUCUAUGAUUAGUGCAUACAGUUGGCUUUUUAAGGUGGACAUGCUUAGAUUCAGGAUGGCAGCUGCAUGAGACCUUAUUAUUCUGCUGUCUGACAUGUUCUGAUUACUGCUUAAAGUCACAGAGCUGUUGUUUGAGGUUUUCUGUGCCUUGAAACUAAACAGAAGAGUCCCAUUCCUUUUCCAUGUCAGUUGUUGGAGGUCGCUGAUUGAGUUAUUGCUACAGUGCAGGGUCACUGUGCUCCCAGCCAUCAAGGAAGUGCUGUUCCCUUCUUGAAAGACAAAAAAAAUCACAUUAUAGGCCUCAUUUACUUAUUAUUUCAAUUACAUAUAUAUACAUAUAUAUUACAUAUAUAUUAGUUAGCUCAGCUGAUGCUCCUACACAUUUUCAACUAUAACAUUAUUAUUAUUAUUCUCUGCAAGUCACUUUGCAGCCCACCUCUAUCCCAGCUCUGCUUUUUCAUCCUUUUUCUGACUUAAUCAAUAUUGAAUGCAUGUGAGAAAAGUAAAAGUUUCAAACGGUGAUUUUAUUUGUUGAGAAAAAAGCUAUCCAAACCUACCUGGCUGUAUGUAACAGAGUAAUUUUUAAGGCUUUGGGACUCAAGCAAAUCAUAGUGAGAGCUGAUAUCCACAAAUAAAUCUACAUUAACCUUCCGAAGAGUGGCCAGUGUACCAAAAUUACUCCAAGAGCACACUGACGACUCAAUGAGGAGGCUAAAAAAAAACAAAAAAAAACACAGGGUCUCUGAGGUGUGAAACCACAUCUAAAGAACUUCAGGCCUCACUUUCCUCAGUUAAGGGCAGUGUUUAUGAUUCAACAAUUAUAAAAAGACCAUUAAAAAAAGUUCCAAAGGUUCCAAGAAACAAAACCACGAAGGCUAAUCUCACACUUGGCAAAAAAAAUCCUGUUUAUCCCUGAGACUUUUGAGACUUCUGUGGGCUGAUGAGAAAAAAAAGUUGAUCUUUUUUAAAGGUUUGAGUCCCAAUACAUGCUGUAAACCUGACACAACAUUUCAUAAAAGGAUCAUACCAACAGUCAAACAUGGUGGUGGUAGUGUGACAGUUGUGGGACUGCUUUGCUGCUUUAGGACCUGAAUGACUUUCCAUAGUUAAUGGGGCUGUGAAUUCUGCUCUCUAAAAGAAAAUGCUCAGAGAGAAUGUCUGGCCAAGAACAAAUAUACUCGACAAAGAUGUGAAAGAUGCCUCACCAAUUUCUACAAAUGCUUGAUCGCAGUUCUUGGGUCUAGGGGGGAAUUACUUGUUCUUUGCAUACGGUCAGGUAGAUCUGGAUAGCUUUCUUUCCCUAAUAUAUAAAUCAUCAUUUAAAAACUGUAUUUUGUGACAAAUUUACAAAAAAUAAAAAAUAAAAAUAAGGAAGGGGGCAAAUACACAGCUUUGUAAAAAGGCGGGCAUGCUGCAGAAUAGAGCCAACAUCUCAAAAAACAAAGCACAGAAAUUAAAGUCAUAACCUUGUUUUGAUUAAUUCUUGAGAUUGAAUUUAAAAAAAUACAAGCAAAUAAAAAUCCAGAUAUAAAAAAUAACCUUCUUUUUCACUAUUCAGACAUUUUUUUCGUUGUAGCUUCCAGUACAAAAGCAAAAACUGGAAAAAAAAUUCUCAAGUUACUAAACUGUUCCACUAAGUUCUACUCAUUGUCAAAGUAACUGUAAAUGAAUUUUACCUGCUUGUAAAAACAUACACACGAUGCAACAUAUUAGAAAAAGGGUCCUGUUGAUUCCCCAAUAUCUUGAAAAGUCUUCCAUGCCAGCUUGAAAAAAAAGAUAAUUUAUUUGAACUGUAAAUGUCUGCGAUUAGUAUUUUAUUUGCACUGAGUAUCAAAAAGUAGUUAUUAAGGAAGUCCUGGGCAUAGAAGCAACAAUAAACAGGGUCACACAAAACACAAAAUAGUCUAAUUUCUAAAUACAUGAAGAAUGUUCAACCUCAUUUCAGCUGACAGUUUCUUUUUAUUUACAAGAAACUGGAGUGCAGUACCAAAACAGUCAACUUUAAGUACCCUAUGAUUGUAACAAAAUGCAAUAAAAUGCUCACAAGAACUAUAAAGUUCACAUCCUGUGCAAAACUAAAUGUGGUGCAGAUUAAAUAGGAAUAAUGUUUUCUUACCAUUGAGUCAUAUGCUGUUUAAUCCUUAUCUCUGCGCAACAACUUUACCAGCUUUAAUGUCACAUAAGGAAAAUUUGAUAUCUAAUAAUCAUCUUAAUUAUAGCGUACAGCUUCUUUGCAUGUAUGUCUGCACAGUGGACAUGCAUGCAUACUAUUAAGACCUUGCCUAGAUGCUUACACAAUGCCACAGAAAUGGUGUGCAAACAGGAAAUCGAUCAUGGUGUGUGGCCACGUGAGUGCCUUUUCUUCUUCUUUUGGUUGGCUGGUUCAGUCUUUGAAGUCGGAGACGAUUCUGUGAGAGUGCACCCUGACAUCUGUUCACAGUAAAGUAUUUUUUUCCCACCCUGUAUUGCACUGUUCUACUUUUACCAAUACCACAGCAACAGACCAUAGAUAACGUCGCAUAAAGUAGGUGAGAUUUACCAUGCCUUUUUUCCUGCAGUCCUGCAGUAUUGACACUUUGCCUCGUCUAAGCUUGUUAUAAAAAGUCAUCUCUCAAAAAGUAUGUGGGAUAUACAGUCACCUUAAAAAAGAAAGCACACCCUUUGUUACUUCUAAGGUUUUAUGUGCUAGGAUAUAAUAUAGAAAAAUAAAUCAGAUGCAAACUGAUCGCUGUUGCCCAUCAAUCAGAAAAGGGUUAUAAGGUCAUCAUUCCACAAUGGAAAAAAUUCAGGACAGUUGCCAGCUUUCAAAGUAGUGGAUUUUCUAAAACACACACGAGACUGUCAAGUGCUCAGAUAAACUGCAAAAACACCAACAGCUACAUCUACAGCAGAAUGGCUGAAAAAGAAAAGAACCAUUGUCAUGGUCCAGUCAUCAACCCAAAUGAAAUUAAUGCCACACAACCCGUCUAUGGGCCAGGUCAUAGUGUAGUGGGUUAGAUUUGGUAGAUGGUUUUUGCAUGGUGUCUUUGAAUGCAGCAUGAACAUUCACCCAUCCCUUGCUGUUAAUCAGAGCCGGGUUAUAAGGAGCAGCUAUAGCCUGCUCCUUGCAUUCGUUCCUGUUGAAGGUGGUGAAGAUCACAGGCUGUUUUUAAGUAUUGCAGAUUACAUUCAUUUCCCCUGUUUUAGUGUUAACUGUUUGUUAUAUUUUAAUCGUGCUUUUAAUAGCAGUUGUAUUUUAAAGGGUGUGUGUGUUAAUUUAUAAGUUUUAUAAGUUUUAUUUUUCUUUAGUGGAGAUACAGUUGCUUGUUGUGGGGACUAGCCAUCUGUGGUGGAAUUCCCCCGCCCUGGGAAACAAGUAUAACGCACCAUUUAAGUUGCAGUGAGGAUUGCAGAGAGACUACACUGGAGAAAACUAUGGGUUUAAGGAAUCGGAAGCUUACCUCUACCCACUCCCCUUCCUCACUACAGAGAACCUCAGCCAGCGACUGUCACAGGAGCAGCUGAUAAGGCUUUAGGUAAAGGAAGUGAAGCUCUGUCACUGGCAGCUCUCCAGGCCUAGGCCCUCUCAGGGGUGGUCUUCCAACAGCUGGAACCAGUCAUUCAGGAGCCGUACAUCCGCACACCACUCACAGCUGGGCACCUGUACAACUGAACUACCGUUACAUCCAGUGUUAACACAGUUGCCAAAACAGUGUGCUGUUCAGACAGAAACAAACGGUCUAGCACUGCAAACUUCAGUGAACUGAAGUAACCUUAUACAGAGGAUGGGGUGAAAUUCCUCCACAUUUUAAGAGACUGAUGGUCAUACAAGGAAACCACUGACAAGUGGUUCUACAAGCGGCAUAAUCAAAUGUACGUUUUUGUUCGUUUUCUAUAUGAUUGUUUUUAUAUUUUGGAUUUUUUUUUUUUUUUCUGUUAAAUCAGUAAUGAUACAGUAUAUAUGUCAUGUUUUGUUUAUCUGAGGUUGAACAUACCUCAUUUUGAAAACUUGGUAAGAAAC
ensembl:lncRNA